rnacentral:snRNA from 1 species
AUACUUACUUGGCAAGAGACAGAAUGGCCAAGAAGGUGGCUUUCCGGGGUGAGGUUCAUCCAUUGCAUCUGCAAUGUGCUGAUCUCAGCAAUUUCCUCAAAUUUGGGGACAUCUGACUGUGUAAUUUGUGAUAGUGGGAGACUGUGUUCCAGCUCUGG